ACAUGCAGUCGAGCGGACAGAUGGGAGCUUGCUCCCUGAUGUUAGCGGCGGACGGGUGAGUAACACGUGGGUAACCUGCCUGUAAGACUGGGAUAACUCCGGGAAACCGGGGCUAAUACCGGAUGGUUGUUUGAACCGCAUGGUUCAAACAUAAAAGGUGGCUUCGGCUACCACUUACAGAUGGACCCGCGGCGCAUUAGCUAGUUGGUGAGGUAACGGCUCACCAAGGCAACGAUGCGUAGCCGACCUGAGAGGGUGAUCGGCCACACUGGGACUGAGACACGGCCCAGACUCCUACGGGAGGCAGCAGUAGGGAAUCUUCCGCAAUGGACGAAAGUCUGACGGAGCAACGCCGCGUGAGUGAUGAAGGUUUUCGGAUCGUAAAGCUCUGUUGUUAGGGAAGAACAAGUACCGUUCGAAUAGGGCGGUACCUUGACGGUACCUAACCAGAAAGCCACGGCUAACUACGUGCCAGCAGCCGCGGUAAUACGUAGGUGGCAAGCGUUGUCCGGAAUUAUUGGGCGUAAAGGGCUCGCAGGCGGUUUCUUAAGUCUGAUGUGAAAGCCCCCGGCUCAACCGGGGAGGGUCAUUGGAAACUGGGGGAACUUGAGUGCAGAAGAGGAGAGUGGAAAUUCCACGUGUAGCGGUGAAAUGCGUGUGGAUGUGGAGGAACCCCAGUGGCGAAAGCGACUCUCUGGUCUGUAACUGACCCUCAGAAGCGAAAUCGUGGGGGAGGAAAAGCGUCAUAUACCCUGGGUGUCU
rnacentral:rRNA from 1 species